CGCUCCCCCUCCCCCCUCUGCAUAGGCCCAUGCCCCCCCCAUCCUGCAUCUCACCGCGAAACCUUCCUCUCGCAGGCACUGCGACCACAUUGCACGUGCACGCAUAGCGAUGCGCCGUUGCUGAAAGAGUCACACGCACAGCACAUCACAGCCUCGUCGUCUGUCGCUAUUUCUUCGUUGUUGACAUUGCCACCACCACUCACUGCACCCUUUCCUCGCUGGUUUCAAGCUCCUUUUCGUUCUCUCAGAGCCGCCCUUUCCUGCCCAAACGUCUACAGGCAGCGGCUCGCCAAGCUCAUCGCCUUCAGCACCGUCAGCCGCAACGCCAACGUCCAGCUUGUAGGAUACGAAAAGGAGUGCCUGCGGCUCGCCGGUGUCGAGGCGACUGUCGUGUAAAACCCGGUGAAGACGCAGGGCGGCAUCGCGCUUUCGGGCCACAAGGAUGCUUUGCCGGCGGAUGGGCAGAAAUGGGACACAGAACCGUUCACGAUGGAGAAAGAUGGCAAGCCGUUUGGCCACGGUGCACGCGACAUGAAGGGCUCCCUCGCCGUUGUGAGGGCGCUGGUGCCGAAGUUCCUGUCGAUGAAGCGCGUGAAGCGGACCCACGUUGCCCUUUCGCACGAUUAGGACCUGUGUUGCCGUGGUAUAGCGUAUCUGCUUACGCAGCUGAAAGAGAAGGGCUUCAAGGGGGACGGCCGUCUCAUCGGUGGGCCGGCGGGCAUGAGGGUGGUGACCUGCAACAAGGGCUUCUGUGAGUGGCACCUGGAGAUGCAGCGCAAGGUGAUUCGCUCCUCCAUGGCGCUCAUGAGCACGAGCUGUAACGCCAUCGAGUACGCCGCGCAGAUCAUCGCGGAAAUCUGUGAGACCGCGCUGGGCAUCACGAAAAGCACUGUGCAGGAGAGGAACUAUAGCUGCCCGCUCGCAUGCAUCUCCACGGAUGCCGUCAUGGAUGGUAACGCGGCGAACACGGUACCGGCGGAGUGCGACGUCAUGUGCAGCGUGCGCCGUCCGCUUGGGCAUCUCUGAGUGACAGGAAUGAAAGCCGAGGGAGUCUCCUCUCCUGCGCCUCGCUUCUCUUAAUCUUGCUUUGCCAUGCCCUUUAUCGCGCCUUUGGCCUGCUCUUUUCGCUGUGUGGCUCUCUCUGCUCGUGCACCGCCGCAUCUCUCCCCCUCCCCACAAG
rnacentral:misc_RNA from 1 species